rnacentral:lncRNA from 1 species
AUUUUUAUUAUUUUUUUUUCUGUUUUUAGUCAACUAUACACGUAGCAGCUGACUGUACCAAUUAAACUUCUCUCUUCCUUUCUCUCCUCGUCUGUUUCUUCUUCUCUAUCUCUCUGCAACAAUUCUCUUUCUCUGGUUCUCUUUUAUCUCACUAAUUGAUGAGGAUGUAGUAAGGUUUGGUAUUAUAAUCGCGAUUGUAGUGCUUUUAUUUUUGUUAUUCUUCACGAUUCAAGACAAUUGCAACUGAUCUUGACCCUCCCAAAUUCUAGAGUUUCAUGUUCGCAAAAACUACCAAUAAAAUGGCGAAUUGAAAUCGAAGCUUGCAUUUGUUACAUUUGAUCUCAUUGAUAAGUUUCGAUUAGGCUUGGGCAUUCAGGUUAUUGUGAAUCACUGAUACAAGAAUCUUCUCAUCGCCACCAUCAUCAUGAUUAUAAUAAUGGUGAUGGUGAUGGUGAACACCAGACUUCCAGCUUCAUGAUGAAUUAGCAGAAGAAGAUCUUGAAUUGUAUGGAUUUGGUCACAUUAACAUGACCACAACCAUGAUUUUGAUGGCAUUUCAGAGCUCUCCAAUUUGAGUAAAUUCUCCAACUUCUUUUUAUUAUUAUCUUUUGAUUAGGUGUUGGUUGAUUCCAAUCAAAUUUAGUAAGGUUUGUUUAUGGACUAACUUUAGCUUUAAUUGAGACUGAAUUUUGAAUGUCAAGAAAAAACUUUUCUUUAAUAAUAAUAAAGUAUGGUAUGGCCAUUCAAACUGACUAAAUGUCAAAGAGUGAUUUUUUUUUUUCCAUAUCCCUUCGCUUUUAAUAUCUGGAGCUCUCGCCAUCUAUCUAUGUUGCAUGUGUUCAUAGCUGAAUUUUGUAUUUGUUCUGUUCUAGCAUGUGUAUAGAAAAGAAUCAACAUGUUUCUAACAAAUAAUUCUUGUUUAAUAGAUGUAUGUGGAGUAUAUAUCGAGCCAAAGUAAAGUUUUUUUUUUUUCUUUCAAUUAGUAACUGGAUAAUUAAUGGGGCGAAUUUGUCAAAACCCCAGAAAAGAUGGGCCGAAUUUGCACAUACCCCAGACUCUUUUUUUUUUUUAUUUGAGUUUACCCCAGAUUGUCAAAUUUUCUGUUAUUAAGCCGUCUGCUGACUAGGAUGAUAUGUUCAUUAACUAGAAUACCCUUCUGAUGUGGAAACAAAGUAACAAAUUUCACUCACAGUACAUUUCAAAAGCCACCGGAACUUUGCCGGAAAAAUUAGAAAGACCGGAAGAGACCCAUUGAAGUGAUUUGAGGAUAAAUCAAGAUGAUUUAAUCAUUUAAGGGAUUUGAUGUGAUUUGGAAUUAAACUAGUGAGAGUUAUGAGAAAUCAAAAGAGAUUAAAGAAGUGAGAUUGAAGAGACAAAAAAGGAAUGGGUUUUAAUGAAAGAUGUUGAAGUGAACAAAGUUGUGAAGGAAUGUAGCCAGUGAAACUCUUAUUAAGAAGGAAGAUUUGAGUACCUUGGUGAUGAGUAUUGCAAGUAAUUUCAACUCAUUUGAGUACCUUAGAAUUCAAUCAGAUCGAAACCAGGUAUCAAGAUAAUGAGUUGGGUCAGUAGAGAUAGAUGAUUUGAGUGAAAGGAUUGUUAGUCCAUUUGAGUUGAAAAAAACCCAAGUGUAUUGAAGCAAAAGAAGAGUUCAAGAGAAAUGAAGAACACCCAGAUUCAACCAUUCUAACUAAACCCAAAUAAAUGAGGUAAAGAUGAGGUUCAUCUUUCUCUUCUAUCAAUUGUUACUAUGGGAGCAUGAGAUGAUGGAUUGCAACCAUAAAGAAAGACAAAAAUGAAUUUCUUUUUUUUUAAGCUUAAUUAGGAUUUCGGUAUUUGUUUUUAUUGUUGUUGAAUCUACAAGUUUAAAUCUUGAGUUUUAAUGAAUAUCAACAAAGUUUAUUCUUUUUUCAGUUUUUUUUUUUAUAAAUGGGUUUGGGAUUUAGGUUAGAUCUGAGCCAUAGAUUUUAUUAGAUAUGAGCCAUUGAUAAAAAAUGGGGUAGAAUACAUUCAAUAAUAUUUUAUUAGACAUUAAGCCACGUAGAAUAUCAGUGGUGUCAAUAGACGGCUUAAUAAAAGAAAAACUGACGGUGUGGGGUAAACUCAAAUAAAAAAAAAAAAGUCUAGGGUAUGUGCAAAUUCGGCCCAUCUUUUCUGGGGUUUUGACAAAUUCGCCCUAAUUAAUGAGAUAGGGGAUAAGAAGAAAUCAUAAAUGUUAAGCAAGCACUAGUAAAAAUAAAAAGGUGCCCUAUUUUCAUCCUGUACAUGUUUACAAUGAACAUAUGCAGUCUUUCAUUAGCUUGUGUUUCAUCCGAUGGGAAGGGAAUGAAUAUCUCUACAGGUUGGGUGAGGAGAAUAUUGCACACAAACUAUUUAAUGAAUUGCUCCAGCUAACGCAAAAGUGGAAAUUGGAAAAUCAAUUGCCCAAUUUUGUUCUUGAUUAUCAAUUUUCACUUAUACUCAAAAAAUUUCUUCAUUAUUUAUGUUAUUAAUUGUUCUUGUUCUCGUGGACAAUUUGAGAGACACGGUGGGUUGCUAUUUAGAUUAAUUGGUAAUUACUAUGAGAGGCAUAGUGGCAGUGGGUUGCUAUUUAGAUUAAUUUGUAAUUACAAUGAGAGGCACAGUGGCAGAAAAUGAUCCCGAAAGGAAACAUGGUGUCUUGAUCGGAGAAUGUUGGGAGGACCGCAUGGUAGGCAGUGGGGUACUAACCUUUACCAUGUUGCAGGCAUCGUCAGGUAGUCCGACUGUCUGUGGCGCUCUCUGGUGGCUAUGAGGAUGAUAAGGAUCACGGUGAAUGACAACAGUAUACAUUUUUCAUGUCAGAAAUGACUACACAAGUGCCUAAAUGGAUGAGAAAAAUCAAGAAACUCCAAUUUCUUUCUAAAACCUCCUUCGAUUUGUGCUUUUUAUCUUCUUAUUUUUUGGGCCUGAUAUUGGGCUUUGGCCCAAGUGGAGUUCAAGUUGUGUGACUUAAAUGUAUUAAUUAUCAUGUUCAACAAGAUUUACUAAAAUUGACUUAAAUAUUUGAAAGAGAUUUUGGCACUAACCCCCCGUGUGAAAGUCGAAAUUUGUGUUACCCCAGCAGUUACCCCCCAAUUGGACGGAAAAAA